ACUUUUGGGAAACCCCUUUGGGUCCCCUCCCAUUGUAUGCGAGCUCUGUUUUCACUUAUUAAAUCUUGCAGCUGCACACUUUUCUGGUCCGUGUUUGUUCCUGCUCGAGCUGAGCUUUCACUCACUGUCCACCACUGCUGUUUGCCGCCGUCGCAUACCCGCCAUUGACUUCCACCCCUCCGGAUCUGGCAGGGUGUCUGCUGCAUUUCUGAUCCAGCGAGGCACCCAUUGCCGCUUCCGUUUGGGCUAGAGGCUUGCCAUUGUUCCUGCACGGCUAAGUGCAGGAAUUUGUCCUAAUCAAGCUGAACACUAGUCACUGGGUUCCACGGUUCUCUUCUGUGACCCACGGCUUCUAAUAGAGCUAUAACAUUAACCGCAUGGACCAAGGUUCCAUUCCUUGGAUUCCGUGAGGCCAAGAACCCCAGAUCAGAGAACAAAAGGCUUGCUUCCAUCUUGGGAGUGGCCGCCACCAUCUUGUGAGCUCUAAGAACAAAGACCCACCUGUAACAUUUGGUGGCAACCGUAUGGUGAUUCUCCAAAGCGAUUUACAUUGAUCAUCCACUAUGUUCCAGAUACUACAUGAUACUAACAAGACAACAGGAGAAGUGAUAUCAAAAGACAACGACUACACCAAAAUUUGGAGAAAAAGGUGAAUCCAGACAGUCACAGGUGAGAUCUGCCGACCUGGAGCAGAGCUGCUAGAUCCAUAAGCUGGAAUCCAUAUCUGUCUUGGUUUAAGAUGAGCCACAACAAAUUAAGAGGCUUGGAGAAGAGUUUCUAAUUUGAAACAUAUAUACACCUGCACAUUUAAUAAAAAGUAUAUGUUUCUUACAACUGAUUGAAAGCUGACUCACAUGAAGAUACAAGAUUCUCAGGCAGUAUGUCCUUCCUCGUUGGCAGCACUUUCUGCUGAACCUGCCAGUGAAAUGAAGCCUAUGACUUUCUGGGGAGGCUAGUCCUCAAUUUUUCCUGCAAAGGUUUGGUCCAGGUGGAGUUUUUCCAAAGUGUGCAAACUGCACUUCAAUUAAAGAAGUCUGCAGGGCACAUAGAGCAGAUGAACAGCAAGUGUGCUGAGACUUCUCUUGACAAGACUUUGGCAGGUGGGAAGCCCAAGUGAAAAGCAAGCAUUUGGAAACGCUAUAUGGAAGCAAAUAUUUAACACGCCAGAGGACUGGGAAAUAAUGUUGGUUUCUCAUCAUGUUUCCCAUUUUCUUGGAAUUUCUAGAAGGAAUUCCUUAUGAUUACAGAUAAUCAAAAGAAUCCAACAUAUUCAAAUCUGAGGAAUUGCGACAAUCCAAACAUUGUGCUUUUGAACAGCUGCUAAAAGGAAAGGCAGCAGUUAUUAAUUCACUAGCACCUUUUUUUUUUUCCUAAACUGAAAUACUGACUGCAUUCAUUUUGGCUAAAGUCAUUCUUGGAAGCUUAAAAAAUUCCCAGUAAGAGUCUUUCAUUUUUGUAAGUGCAGAUGAUUUUCUGUUGGCUUUUGCUUAACUUCAGCUGACUUUCAUGUAAAUGUACUGCAGACGGGGUUAAAAUGGCCAGAUGGUUGCUGCAAAAUGCUUUUCUGACUUGAACUUCUCCUCUUCCUCACCUCUUUCAUAUGCUUCAAUCCUGAGCACUAUGGACUUGGGAGAGAAGUAUAAAUUAAUUUGAUGGAUGUUCUGGCUGCUUUAUCAGCUUAAAAACAAGGUAAUUGAAAGGUUUCAUCCAGUUAGUUGAGACCUUCAUGUCUCUGAAUUUCACAUUCCCAAAGGAGCCUAUCUGGUAUCAUUCUAAUUAGAAUUACAAGUAUAAGUAGAUAUAAUAUGAUUAUUGACUAGGGACAGCUCAAUAUCUAUUCUUUCUCUACUGUACUCAAUGUCUAAAACUCUCAGCACUGCUUCCAUUUACCAAAGACCAUGUAGAAAGCCUGAGGAGGUACCUACAGAAUCUCUGAAAAAGACUAAUAUUGGAGUACAAAGGGUCAGGAUGAUCCUACUGUACAUCCUGAUUUGUUCUGAAACUUUCUGGGGCCCUAGGAUAGUUCAGAAGAUUGAAUAAGUUAAUGGUUAAUUGGGUAAGUUAAUGAAGAAUGAUCUGGCCUCCAAGCCUUGAUUCUCCCAAUAAUGGACAUUGCAAAGUUCUUUAGUUUUCCUCAGUAUCAAUUUCUUCAUAUGUAAGAUGGAGAUGCUAUGUGGUUGGUUGUGGUAAAUUAUGUGAAGAAUACUAUGGGCUACAUAAAUUCAAAAAGUUAUUAUUUUGAAUCUAAUAAUGAGUAUAACAGUUACCUAAGAAUCAAGUUGGAUACAAUAAAUAUGGUAAAUUAAUGAAUAUGUAAAACUCACCGAGAAUGUUGGCUCUGCUAAUUUAACGUCAAAACUGAUUAAUGCUUAUUAAGGCUCUUUAGCUAAGCAAAUUAGAUAUGAAUUUAUUUUCCUGGCAUCUGAGUCAUAUUUUGAUUUGUCUAAUGCCAAUGACUUCAAAAGAGUUCUUUGCUUAAAUCAUCUUUAAGUAAGCUCAAAAACAAAUGUUAAAUGAUCCUUGGAAUAUAAAACAAUUCAGAGUGCCAAAUUGUGUAGUGAUGGUCUUUUAAAAUACUCUGUUGUAUAAGGAAGAGGUAAAGAUAGAGGUGGUAUUAGUAUUAUUAGAAACUAUUAAAGGUAGGCAGAUAGAUUAUGUUGAAAAAUCAUGCUUGCCACUUACAGGCAUGCAUACAACCUCCCAGGAGCAGUAUUAAUUUUCUUGGAUGACCUCUGUGAUGAAAUGCCACACCUGCUAUGGGUGUGCUCAAACAACAAUAGAAUCCUAGAACCCAAGAGAUUGGAGAGAUCUUAGAAGAUACAACUGUCUCAUAUGCUUUUACCAGCUGUUCCUCAUUGUAGGAUAUUUUCCCAACAGAUCUUCAUAAGGCUGGCUGGCUUUCUGGCCACUCAGGACUCAGUUUCAACAUCAUGUCAUGAUAGAGGUUGAUGGACCACUUGGUUUAAUAUUAAUUCCUGGGGAGCCUCUCUCCAUUCCAUCGCUUCAUUUCAUUCCUUCCUGUCAUUUCUUGCAAUUUGUCAUAUGCUUUUUUAGUUUAUUUGUUGCUUCUCCCUAUCACCUCCCUCAUCUCUAGAAUGUUAGCAUUUUCGAAGAAAGGACUUUGCCCAUCUGAGUUCUGCUGUGGCGCAAGCAUUUGGGACACACGUAGUAGGAAAUAAACACAAGUUUUUAAAGUUUAAUCAGUAAAACCCUCAUUUUGCCUAUGAAGAAUCAGAGGAUAAAGCCAACUAGGGACUUUGCCCAUUGUUAGACAGAUAGUCACUGACAGAGCCAAGAAUAGAGUCAAUUCUCCUGUCACAUAGCUUAAUGUUCUGUUUAGUGCACUCAUUCACUGCUCUCAGGGUGACUUAUACAUGCUUGACCCUGUACAAAGGGGAAUAAAACAUUAGGUCUGUUUAUAAGCUCUCUCCAUUUUCUUGUGAGCAGUGCACUUUCUCCAGCAGAUGUUUUCUCCAGAACAGUAGCACCACUCACCAUGGUAAUCUGAUCUAGGUCUUAUUCAGAUUCCAUUAGGGCCCUUCUAGUCCUGUAGUUUUAUCACUAGAAGCAACAGACUUGUCUUCUGUAUUACUGUGUAAGAAGGUAAACAAACAUAGGCUAUUAUGCGUUCAUUUAUGCAUAGACUUAUGAGCUAAUUACACAUUUAUUGAAGACUUACAGGCAUUGUUUUAGAUACAUUGUUCGGGUAUAUAAAGAGAAAACUGAGACUGGCUUCACUAGGGUUGCAGCAGCAUUGUUACACUGCCAUGUGUUAAAUGCUACGUGGGAAGGGGUACAAGGGUGUUUAUCAGGUGUCACAGGAUCAGAGAAAGUUGCCGGAAGUGCUGGAUGAGAAAACAAGUUAUCAUAACGAAGGGUAGAAUAUGAGCAUAUGUUUAAAGAUGGGCCAUUGUAUCCCAAAACGUGAAUGAGACAAGGACUCUUGUUCAUUCUUGGUGGGAAAGCAAAUGUUACAGCCACUUUGGGCAGUUUGAUGGUUUCUUACACAAUUAAACAUAUUCUUACUAUAUGAUCCAGCUAUACUGCUCCUUGGUAUUUUCCCAAAUGAGUUGAAAACUUGGGUCCACACAAAAACCUGCAUAUAAACAUUUAUAGCAACUCUUUCCAUAAAUUGCCAAAACUUGGAAACAACCAAGAUGUUAUUUAAUAGGUGAAGGGAUAAAUAAACUGCAGUCCAUGCAGGCAGUGGAAUAUUAUUCAGCAAUAUGAAAUAAGCUAUCAAGUCAUAAAAAUAAAUAAAGCUCAAAUGCAUAUUUCUAAGUAGAAGAAGCUAGUCUGGAAGUGUUGCAUACUAUGUGUUUCCAGUCAUAUAAUAUCCUGGAAUUUAAAACUAUGGAGACAGUAUAAAGAUCAGUGAUGGCUAGGGUUCAGGAGGAGGGAAGGGAAGCAUGAAUAGGUGGAACAGAGGGCAUUUUUAGGGCAGUGAAAUGAUUUUGUGUGCUACUGUUAUGGUUGAUUCGUGCCAUUAUAUACCUGUCAAAACACAUAGAACUCUGCGACACCAAGAAGGAACCAUAAUGUAAAAUAUGGGAGUCAGUUAAUAAUACUAUAUCAAUAUUGGUCCAUCAAUUUUAACAAAUGUACCACACUAGUGCAAGCUGUUAAUAAUAGGGGAACCUGGGGUUGGAGGGUAGUGACGAGUUAUGUGGGAACUAUUUGUAUUUUGCCCUCAAUUUUUCUGUUAACCUGAAACUGUUCAAAAAUGGCCUAUUAAAAAUGAAUGAGACCUAGUGAACAUUUCUGACAGUUAAAUCUAUGCAGUUUCUCAGAAGAAUUAUUUGUUGAUUCAUUUAGAAGACAUAGACUAAGCUUACUUGGUGUUGAUCUCUGUGUGAGGCACUGAGAUCCAGAAAUAAAAUAGGAUAUUUGCUAUUAAAGAGUUUAUAAUCUCAUAAAAAGAAGUAGCUAUGCAAACAAGGUCAAUAAAGUAUGGUAGGCAUUUGGGUAGAAAUGCAUAUAUGGUACAGUGAGCAGUUGUACCUGUUUGGAGUUGAGGUUCAGGAAAGUAUUCCCAGAGUUGCUGAACCUGGAGCCAGGUCUUUAUAGCUAAAUAAGAAAAUAAAUGUGAGUUGACUAAUAGAUGAUUCUAGGGGGUAGAGAUAAUUAAAGUUAUGUACCUUGGAUUCUGUACUCGAUAUGGAAUAAAAUCAAUCUAUAGAGCUUUAGACUAUAUCAAAAGAAAUAGCUCUUGAAAUCUGGUUGAAGUUUUGGGUUGAAUUCUUUCCGUGUUUCACAUUUGCAGCCUGAGAUAGCUAAAAAAAAAUUAUGGCUGUAAUCACCACUAUAUGCUUUCCUCUAUACUUUCAAUGUGAUACUUCAGAUAUCUAUCCUAUGAUAAGACCAAAAAGAGCCAUGGGAGAGGUAUACUUAGAGGAGUGCCAGUAAACUGUGUUGGAGCUUAAGAGGUCAAGCAUUUACGAGGUUAGUUUACUUAAUGGGCCAUAAACAUGAAGACAGGGAAGAUAGGAAGCUAAUGAGCCAGGGACCCAAAUUCUAGGCAAAUAAGGAAGCGUAGCCAGGAGGUCAGUAAACGGCAAAGGCAAAUGUAAAGAGCAGAAAGAGGUGCAUAACUACUGUCAGCACCUUAAGUUUAUUACUAGCAUUAUUAUGAUCAUAAUUGUUAUUGUCUGUUUUUUAUACAAAUGUCAAGAACUUAUGGUUUUAAAGCAUCAGUAAAAAGCAUGGAAAAUUUCAUUGCAAUCCAGUAUAUUCGAGAAUGGGCAGCUUCAACUAAGAGGAAUGAGCAUGAGGGAAAAGAAGGUCUUUUUUGGGGAAGGGUCAGGUUUCAAUUAAAGCCAGAAGAUAGAAGGAGCUACCUGGAUACAUUUGUUUACAGUAGGUUUCAUUCUGGCUUGAAUGUUGUCAGUUAAAACGGUGAGUAAAAAAGCCCUGCAAACAGAUGCUAGAUAGUGAGAAGACCACAGCCUGCAGGGCCUAGUAUUUUGUCCAAUAACUGGGAAAGAUAGAGAUGAGAGGUACAGGAACCGGUAGUGUUUGAUUUCUGGUAUUUCUGUAAGAAAUCAGUCCAUCAAGCAAGUGGUUCUAAUUCUCAAAAGAGUAUUAGCAGCCUGAAAUAUAGAGACUCAAAGGUAUAUAAGGUGCACUAAAGCAAUCACCCUUGAUGAUUGUUCUCUCCAGAUAGAAAAGGUUUUCCUUUAUUGUGGUUGGAGAUCUGGGCUGAUUUUUGUGUGUUCCAAUUUAGAAAUUUGAGGUAGUUAGGAAUCCCGUAGCUCUGUUAAGGGAAAUUGUUACCAAUUUUUACUCACAAAUGAACUACUCUACUAUAGCCAGCCUUGAGGGGUACAAACUGAUACUGGUGAAACCCCAGGCCCUGGGUAUUGAGUAAGGCAUUGACAGUUUGAGUACUGACAUGUGAUUGGGAGAUAAGUAGGAACUGGUGGGAGGAAAACAGCCAGAAAUUGGCAUUCAUAGGAUAUAAAGAAAGGGGAAACAGUGAGGAUUAAAACAGACACAGGAGUUAAGGCUAACUUCAGAGGGGCAAGCAGUGGGAGAGUCUUCUUGGAUGUUUUUACAGAACUAGUUUCUGAAAGAAACCUAUUUAGGCUUAAAGAAACAGAAGCUUACUUAAUGAAACAGUUAUUAUUUUUACAUUUUCAUGACAAUUAAAAUUUAUUUAUAUAAAUUUCACUGGGCUGAAAAAGUGUCAUUAUGUAAACACACACAACGAUGUAUUUCUUAUACUUAAUCACUCGGGGGAUGUCAGCAAUUUUCUUUUGGAAGCAGUAUGUUUCCAGAAGUAGUUUUUCUUUAUUGUAAAGGAUAUUCUGUUUGAGAUAGUAUGGAUUUUAAAGAAACAACUUGUCCUAGAAAGAGAAAAUUAUGAAGAAUUAUAAAACAUAUGCUUAAGAAAAAUUAGGUUAAAAAUGGCAGCUGAACUAUUGGAAGAUGCUGGUCAUGUAAUGUGAGCAAAAGCAUAGCAAUAGAGGGGUGGGAUUGCUUCAGAUAAAGAGCCAGGGAGGCUCAAGGGACAUGUCUCUAUGGCUUCUGACCACUCUGAACCCAGUACUGUUUUCCAUUAGGACUUACCAAAAAGCCCAAAGGAGCCAAGAAUUCCAGGUUUCUAAAGAUAACAUAUAUUCGCCUCCAUGGCUUACUUAUUGGGCUUGGCUACUUAACUUCUUAUUUCACCUAUUGGGGAUUUAGUUUCCUCAGUUAUAGCCUGCUCUAAAAGGUGUUUGUGAGAAAUACAUCAAAUAAUGCUUGGUGAAGUAUCUGGAAUGUAGAGUAAAGCUUCAAUAAAUAAGUUAUUUUUAAAAAGCUAGGCUUUGUAAAUGAAAAUGACCAAUGGUAAAUUUUACUGGAGUCCUUAUCUGUAAAGGAGAGCUGUUAAUAGUGUCACUUUAUAUGUUGUUAUUAUCUUAACAAAAUAUCUAUUAAACAUUCAACAGUCUUGGGCUACAGAAAGCAAUCCGUGGAUGUUAUGUCUUAUUCUUAAUAGAACCUGUCUUCUCCAACUUGCUUCUUACUACUUUCUGGGGUUGUUGACGUCAAAGCAGAGGUUGAAAAGUGGUAACCCACAUACUGGAUCUAGCCCUUGUUGUGUUUUGUUUUGCCUAACACUAUAUAAGUAAUGAAUCUGAAAACAUAUGGGUGUAGCACAUACUUCCUAGGUUGUCACAGUCCCCACACUGUCUUUUGUUUUGUACCUGGCACAGGGGACAUAGGCUAUCUGUUUGAUAAUUAAGACAACCUAUUCUAAAAUACUUGUCUAUCAUGUUUUCCUUUGCUCUUUCAUUUCUCUCAUUCCCAUUUUUAAAAUUCACUACUUAUUUUCAAGCUCUGUUUAAUAUAUGAAGAAUAAAAAUAGUUUAUGCAUCUGCAGAAACUCUAACAAUACAUUUCAUUGGUUUACAAUAGGAAAAUGAAUAUUGGGUCAAUAUGCCAUCACAAAAGUUUCUCUGAAGACAAUUCAGUUAAUUACCUUUAGUUGUUUUUUUUUCAAUGUAACACAAAUAAAAAUGAA
rnacentral:lncRNA from 10 species